ACAUUAUUUUAAUUUUAUUUAUAUAAUUUUGUAUUUUUUUUUAAUUAUGACUGGGUUAACCGGGUGAAUCAGUAACUCACCGGUUGAACCAGUGACCCGGUGACCCAGUCAUAUGACCGGGUUGAUUACCGGUUUGGUUCUAAUAACUAUGCUCAAUUGGCACCAACAACCAAUCACAUGAAGCCACGUAACACCUAAUUAACAUGUUUAAGCGGCGACGCGAGUGCUCUUCCACAUCUUUAAUUGAAAUCGGAAUCCCUCUUUUCCUUUCCUCUAUUUUUCUGUGAAAACAACGCCUUUUUUCCCCAAUUCCCUUCCCCCGCAACCUUCCCAGCCAUGGGAUUUAGAAACCUGGGACUACUUGGAUCAUUUGCCAAAGAGGGGUUGGAAAAAGCAUUCUCUCUUGGAAAGUUCUUCUGUUUUCUACAUGUCACCGACACCUAUUUGGUCACGUUUGUUGUGACAUCUGGUCCCAGCAUGCUUCCCACAAUAGAUUUGAUCCCAACAAUGUUUUUCGGUGAAAGGAUCUCAACUAGAUUUGGUAAAGUUACUUGUGGAGAUAUUGUGAUUAUUCGCUCCCCUCAAAACCCUAGGAAGCUUCUGGCUAAACGAUUGGUUGGAAUGGAGGAUGAUACUGUUACAUACAUUUCUAACCCUGAUGAGCCUGAUAAGCAGGAAACUAUUGUGUCAGAUGAGUUGGAUAGCCCCAACUUAACAUCACAAACUCAUGCACACUACACACUCACACACAACACUUUUAAGGGUUCCUAUCCACUACUUGGUCUCAACGAAGUUUCAGACCCGGGUGUGGUUGCUCACGAUGCAAAUGAGGCCUCGACCACCUUAUUAUAGCUUCUUGUGUUGAUUUGUUCCCCUCCCUUACAAAAUGGAUAUAUAGAUUGUGUUGUCUAUGUCUGUGUUAUUUAGGUUCCAAAGGGUCACGUUUGGAUACAGGGUGAUAAUGCAUAUAAAUCCAAUGAUUCAAGGAAUUUUGGUGCUGUUCCUUAUGGACUUAUUCAACACAGGCUAUUUUGGAGGGUAUGGCCAAUCAAAGGUUUUGGACCUUUCUGGAAACACUGAUGUGAGUGUACUUUAUGAUUCUCAAGUGAAGUUCAAUGAAAUUCAGCUUCACAAAUUCCCUUUUCGUUUUCCUCUUUCUCUCUCUCCUCUCUCGAUCUCAUACCGUACAAUUUGUUCAAGUUCCCUAGCUCUUGUAUCCUAAUUCCAUUGAUUCCAAUAUUAUGUUUCUAAGUUGCACAUUUGGAGCCUUAGGGGGCAAAAAAAUAAUACAAAAUAUACUAUCUUGUCAAAAGAUAACAAUGAGAUAAAUAGUUUAAAAUUUAA